UACGGGAGGCAGCAGUGGGGAAUAUUGGACAAUGGGCGCAAGCCUGAUCCAGCCAUGCCGCGUGUGUGAAGAAGGCCUUCGGGUUGUAAAGCACUUUUGUCCGGAAAGAAAAGCUUAGGGUUAAUAACCUUGAGUCAUGACGGUACCGGAAGAAUAAGCACCGGCUAACUUCGUGCCAGCAGCCGCGGUAAUACGAAGGGUGCAAGCGUUACUCGGAAUUACUGGGCGUAAAGCGUGCGUAGGUGGUUUGUUAAGUCUGAUGUGAAAGCCCUGGGCUCAACCUGGGAAUGGCAUUGGAAACUGGCUUACUAGAGUGCGGUAGAGGGGUGUGGAAUUCCCGGUGUAGCAGUGAAAUGCGUAGAUAUCGGGAGGAACAUCUGUGGCGAAGGCGACACCCUGGACCAGGCACUGACACUGAGGCACGAAAGCGUGGGGAGCAAACAGGGAUUAGAUACC
rnacentral:rRNA from 1 species